AAUUGAUAUCGCUGGAAGCCUUGACACUUUCAACAGCACCAAAACUGCCAAAUUGUUCCACAGAAGACCCAACUUCAGGAAAUUCAACGUAAACAACAUCACCUAAAUGUUUCUGAGCAUGAUCAGUGAUGCCAAUUGUUGCAGAAUUACCGUCAACUUUAACCCAUUCAUGAGAUUCUGUGUACUUCAAAUCCUUGGGCACAGUGGCAAAAGCCCUGUGAAAUGCUGAGAUCCUGAGAUAUGAAGCAGCCCUUGAAGCCCACAACUUUGUAGCCAUUUUUUUCUUUUAGGAAUCUGCUUUGGAUGUAGAGCUGUGCCAACACUUGUAUUGUAUGUAUUAGGGGAAAAUGGAAAAUAAAAAGUACAGUAGAGUUAUAGAAGAAAGUGGAAGCAAUAAAAAUAGGGAAGACAAUGGUGGCUGGUGGGUUGAGGUGUCAACAAAGUUGUUUAGCAAAGUUGGUGAGUGU
rnacentral:misc_RNA from 1 species